GGAGUUUGGACCGUCUCUCAGUUCCAAUGUGGCCGAUCACCCUCUCAGGUCGGCUACCGAUCGUCGACUUGGUGGGCCGUUACCUCACCAACUAUCUAAUCGGACGCGAGCCCACCCCAAACCGGUUUGCACCUUUUACCUCAGUACCAUGUGAUACCGUGGUCUUAUGCGGUAUUAGCACCUGUUUCCAAGUGUUAUCCCCCUGUCUGGGACAGGUUGCUCACGCGUUACUCACCCGUCCGCCACUCGAAUCAAAUCUUCCACCCCGAAGGACUUCCAAUUUGAUCCUCGUUCGACUUGCAUGUGUUAAGCACGCCGCCAGCGUUCGUCCUGAGCCAGGAUCAAACUACU
rnacentral:rRNA from 1 species